UUUAAACUAUUUUUUGAAAUAGUAGGUUGAAGAUGUUGCAUCAAUGUUAGGUGCGUCCAUUAGUAUUGACAUGCGGGAAAUCUUAAUACGGUAAUUAAGAAAAAAUUGUACUGUAAUUGUUUAUUGCAUGCGGUAUGUUAUUUCAUGUGGUAUGUUAUUUUAUAUGGUAUGUUUAUUAAUAAGUCUAUAGUUAGGAAACCGUAGGCCUACUUUGUUAUGUCGCAAUAAUCUAAAUUUUAUAUGUUAAGAUUAGGUGCUAAUGUACUUAAUGAUGUAUGUAAUUAGGUAAAAUAAUUCAUCUUAGUAGCAAACAAGGAGGAGAAGACGUGAUUGAAGAAAUUGUGUUUCCAUUUUCGCUGUCCCAUUUUGAGGUUGACGAGGUUCAUAUAGUACUGGCGACGGAUAUUUAUUGGAACUAUUUUGACGCUUAAUUGCAUUCGCAAGCACAUCCAUAUUGGAGCUAAGAUUUAAACCAGCACCA